rnacentral:rRNA from 1 species
CGACACGCUGGCGGCGUGCUUAACACAUGCAAGUCGAACGGUGACGAGGAGCUUGCUCCUCUGAUCAGUGGCGAACGGGUGAGUAACACGUGAGCAACCUGCCCCAGACUCUGGGAUAACAGUUGGAAACAGCUGCUAAUACCGGAUACGAGACGGAGAGGCAUCUCUACCGUCUGGAAAGUUUUUCGGUCUGGGAUGGACUCGCGGCCUAUCAGCUAGUUGGUGAGGUAAUGGCUCACCAAGGCGACGACGGGUAGCCGGCCUGAGAGGGCGACCGGCCACACUGGGACUGAGACACGGCCCAGACUCCUACGGGAGGCAGCAGUGGGGAAUAUUGCACAAUGGGUGAAAGCCUGAUGCAGCGACGCCGCGUGAGGGAUGACGGCCUUCGGGUUGUAAACCUCUUUCAGCAGGGAAGAAGCGAAAGUGACGGUACCUGCAGAAGAAGCACCGGCUAACUACGUG